UGGUCAUUUAGAGGAAGUAAAAGUCGUAACAAGGUCUCCGUAGGUGAACCUGCGGAGGGAUCAUUA
rnacentral:rRNA from 1 species